rnacentral:tRNA from 1 species
GUCCUCGUAGUUUAACUGGAUAGAACGUCAGGUUCCGAACCUGAAGCUUGAGGGUUCAACUCCCUCCGAGGACA